UACGUAGGGGGCGAGCGUUGUCCGGAAUCAUUGGGCGUAAAGAGCGUGUAGGCGGCUUGGCAAGUCUGACGUGAAAGCCCCGGGCUCAACCUGGGAACCGCGCUUGAGACUGGCACGCUCGAGUUCGGGAGAGGAUGGUGGAAUUCCCAGUGUAGAGGUGAAAUUCGUAGAUAUUGGGAAGAACACCGAUGGCGAAGGCAGCCAUCUGGACCGACACUGACGCUGAGGCGCGAAAGCGUGGGGAGCAAACAGG
rnacentral:rRNA from 1 species